UACAGCCAUAUCAAAUUGAAACACCAGUUCUUGUAUGAUCACUGAAGUUAAGCAACAUUGAGCCUGGUCAGUACCUAGAUGGGUGACCGCUUGGGAAUACCAGC